GAGCCCAUAGUUCAACGGAUAGAAUAAGUCCCUUCUAAGGAUUAGAUGACAGUUCGAUUCUGUUUGGGCUCACAA
rnacentral:tRNA from 1 species